UCCCUGGAGGACUAGUGGUUAGUCCUCCGUGCUCUCACCACUUCGGCAUGGGUUCGACUCCCAGCUUGGGAA